GUUGUGGCAUAUGCUUCAGAUCUCAUAUUCUCUGGCGUUAGCCUAGAUCCUCACAGGCAAAAAGGUCUCAAGACUGCAUUGCUCAGUCUGGAUCACUCGAUGUGGUUCCACAGAUCUGUCAAAGCUGACGACUGGUUAUUGUUUGUGAUAGAGAGCCCUUCGGCCUUUGGCGGACGAGGAUUCGUCACCGGCCGAAUGUUUAACCAAAAAGGCGAGCUUAUUGUUUCACUAACACAAGAAGCUCUGAUUCGGAAAGCAAAAACACAGAACCAGGUCCCUCAGUCAAAACUCUAGAGCUGUUUGCCAGUACCAGAAGAACAGGAAACCAUGGGUAUUGGUGGAGCAGUACUACAGUUUCAAUUUACUUCCCAAUAUUAAGCUUCUAUUUUAUGAAAUUUUCUACAAAUUAUGGGCUUAUGUGUAAAUACUGAUGAUUUUGUUGUUGUAGCUAAUAAUAAGCUGAUUUAUCUGCAGAAAAAAAAAAAAAAUUAUUGAAGUGCUGAAGAAUUUGUGAUGAUUACAAGAAGUUGUGGGAUGUGUAAUGAAGUCUCUUAUAGCUUAUGGAAAUAGUUGUAAGAAUAAGCUCUUCACAUUGUUCAUAAAUUACUCUGGGAAUUAGAUUUUAAGUUUCUUUUUAUUUUU